GCAUAAUUAAAUACAGAUUGUAUAUAGUCAUGUAUAAUAGUCAAAACUUACAGUUAGAUUAGUUAGGUUUUCUAGAUAUACAGAGAUGUAUUUGGGAUGGAUAGAUAUUCUUCAAAACUUUCAAAGACCUAUAGAAUAUAUGGCAUUUUUAAAUGGUUUAGGGCUUUUCAUGGCAAUGAGACACCCUGCUCCUGGCACACCAAUCAUGUCUGAAAGGAGGACGGGCAUCAAAGAAACUCAUUAUGGAGUUUGCUUUCAAGAUGGCAAGAUUAGCCAUUUAGGCAAGAAACUGCUCUUGCUUGGACUGUUUGUUGCUGUAUAAACUGGGCAUGCAGGGCCCACAGAAAAGUGAUUGCUGAACUUACAAAACAAGAUGGACAGUCCUAAAGGGUUCCUGCUUCAUAAAGAGUCUGCCAAACAUUCUACAAGACACACAGAAAAAUGACUGACAAACUGCCAACUCAAGUGGACAAUUUAAAAUUUCCUGCUUCACGGAGAAGUCUUCCAGACACACUGUGGCCUAUGGUCUGAAGAUGGAUGCCCCAACAUUACAGAGGAACUUCAGGUGACUGUCCAGGCAGUGAAAUGUCUCUGUCAGUUCUAGAGUUUAUAUAUUAUCCUUCUGUGGUCUUUGAUGGAGUUGAAGACAGAUAGUUAUUGUUAUAGAGUUUUUUAGUUAUUAUAAAAGAUAAGCUACAUAUAAGACGUUAGAUUCACAUAGAUAGGGUAGACGAUAGAAUAUUUUCUUUAAAUCUUGCUAAAUGUUAAUGGACUAAAUAUUGUAACUAUAAUUCUUACUUGAUAACUGUUUUGUUAUAUAUUUUACUAUGUUAAUGUUAAGACCCUUCUUUUUAUUUAGACAGGAAAGAGGAGAUGAUGGGGGAAGUCCUUCUGUGUAGAUAUUUGUCUUAUUGGUUGAUAAAUAAAGCACUGUUGGCCAAUAGGGAAGCAAGAUAGGUGGGGCUAGGAGUUGAGGAGGAUUCUGGGAAAUGUAGUAAAGAGGUGAGUUGAGUCGCCAUAUGAUCCCAGGAAGAUAGGACGCUAAGGCCGGCAACCACGGCCAUAAAUAGUUUCUUGUUGAAUAAACAUGAGCAGCAACAGAAGGGAAGCCAGGGGUGCAGAUGGGAAUGUGCAACCCACUGAAAUACCCCUGAGUGGAGAGCUUCAAAUGGACACACACGGUGGAGACUGGCUUCCAAGAGACCCAUGCGGCAGUGAUGCCCUUUUCCAACACAUCCCCCCUUAUCCUGCCCUCUGGCUCUAGUCAGCACUGUUCAUACUUCAUUCUAAGAAGGACAUCAGAACACUCCAUUAUGGUCAGACCUGCCUUCCUGAGGCCAUACAGGCCUGGAAGACAGCUCCCUCAUGUCUGCUCUGCAGCAUCUCCAGCCCCUCAGGUGGCUCACUAAGCUGGUAUGCAGGAGGCUUGUGAGGAAGAAGCCCACACAGAGACAACUGCCACCAUUUGACCUUCUGCCAAAUCAAGGAGCCACUGUGGAUCACUUGUGGGAUAGAAGGCAUUGUCUCAGAGACUGCUGGGCAGGUCCCCACCAUCAUGGAUGAGACUGUAUUGCCCCAAGGAGGCUUCACAGAGGACUUGACCCUUCCCUGGAGUACAGUUCUGGCAAGGUGGACCCCACAGUGUGCAAGGUUAUUAUUAAGAAGGAAACAACCAUGAAGUUGAAGCUCCUCUCCCACAUAAACUUAGAAAGCAAGGGCAGGGGGCACUUGCAUCCUUCCUUGCUAGGCCAGAGAAGACACUGUCCCUCCAGCAGUUGGACCUUCUUUCCCCAGAACAGCAAGCCUCACUAAGCAGAUGGGAAUGGAGAGAAGAGACAGGAAAGUUCCCCUUACUGCUACCCAAUAAGUCUAUAUUUUUCCAAACAG
ensembl:lncRNA